rnacentral:lncRNA from 1 species
UUUAAACCAACACAGUGAACACAACAAGGUACUUGAUUGGCAUACAUAGAUGAACUCAGAUUUGUCAAGAAAACAUUCAACCCUGUCCUAAAGUAUUAUUGGAUCCUGAAGAUAAGUAUUGUAUCGUUUUCAAAGGUCCACAUUUUAUCAAUUAUUGAACAACCACCUCAUUGGUCUAUGAAACCAACCAGAUAGAGAAAAGUCACCAAGUAUUCAUGUAUAAGGGAUAAGAAGAACAACAGCAAGAAGCAAUGACUGUGUGCGUAUGAAGUUAACUAAUAAAGGAGAUAAAUGAGACCCUCACAAGUCUCAUAAACUGAAACUGUAAGCAGAUUCAAUAGAGAAUAUCUGAAGUUUUGGAUAUUACAAAAUGAAUGUUACUGCUAGCUUACACAGAGACAUACAUCCGCAGAUGGAAAAGGAGAGAUUGGAAUCGUAUGUACACAGUUACAAGUACACAGAGAGGUUACAGUAGUUCUCUAGCGAGCAAAUGAUGAAGUAACG